UAAUUGAAGAGUUUGAUCAUGGCUCAGAUUGAACGCUGGCGGCAGGCCUAACACAUGCAAGUCGAGCGGUAACAGGAGAAAGCUUGCUUUCUUGCUGA
rnacentral:rRNA from 1 species